GUGCCUAAGAGAGCAAGUCGAACGGGGAUUUAGGAGUUUGUCCUAGUGGCUUAUCCCCGAAUAGGGGAGAAACAACUUAGCUUCUUAAUGGGGACAAGGGGACGAAAGUAGUGAUAAUAUGCAAUGUGAUGAUGCGGGUGUAUAGGUGGGGUAAUAAAGGUGGAAUCGGAGUAUGCUAAUAUUAUAAGAUGGGUCUACGGGUGAUUAUCUAAUUAGCUGGGUAGAAGGGCAAAUACGCGACUAUGAGAAGAUGGUCUGACAGGAUGAAAGGAUGAACUGGGACUGAGACACUGACAAAACUCCUACAGGAGGCAGGGAUGGG
rnacentral:sRNA from 1 species